UGGGGAGUCGUCCAGUGGUAGGACAGCGGACUUUGGAUCCGCCGACGGUGGUUCGAGCCCAUCCUCCCCAGCCA
rnacentral:tRNA from 1 species